rnacentral:rRNA from 1 species
GACGAACGCUGGCGGCGUGCUUAACACAUGCAAGUCGAACGGAAAGGCCCUGCUUUUGUGGGGUGCUCGAGUGGCGAACGGGUGAGUAACACGUGAGUAACCUGCCCUUGACUUUGGGAUAACUUCAGGAAACUGGGGCUAAUACCGGAUAGGAGCUCCUGCUGCAUGGUGGGGGUUGGAAAGUUUCGGCGGUUUGGGAUGGACUCGCGGCUUAUCAGCUUGUUGGUGGGGUAGUGGCUUACCAAGGCUUUGACGGGUAGCCGGCCUGAGAGGGUGACCGGCCACAUUGGGACUGAGAUACGGCCCAGACUCCUACGGGAGGCAGCAGUGGGGAAUAUUGCACAAUGGGCGGAAGCCUGAUGCAGCAACGCCGCGUGCGGGAUGACGGCCUUCGGGUUGUAAACCGCUUUCGCCUGUGACGAAGCGUGAGUGACGAUAAUGGGUAAAGAAGCACCGGCUAACUACGUG